GCGGAUUGCCAGGCCAUUUUAGAGGCCGUUGAAGAGUAAGCCACGUUGCUGUUGAUCUGGAGUCACUUGUUGUCCAGACCAGGUAAGGACAGCAGAUUUCCUUCCUUGAAGGUUAUUACAGAACCUGAUGGGUUUUUACAACAAGAAACAACAGUUAUUACCAUGCCCAUGACCAUCUGUAAAAUCUAGAUUUGGUAACAGAAUAGAAACUUCACCAUUAGGCACGUGCUACAGGAACAGACUGUGUCCAGACCACCCACUGCAUCUCUGUUUCACUUGUUCGGUGAAAUUCCCAAUUUGUCAGCAUCUCCAGAGCUAAAGUGGAUCAAUUAAUAUCAGCUACAUAUCAGGCAGAAUCUAUUUGAAAAGUUGAAAGGGCUUGCGACCUUCUGCUUUUACGAUCUUUUCUCUUAUGUUCAUGAACCAGCCUCAUUUAUGAAGGUAUGACCUGAACAAUGCAAUGCUGGGCUGCUGGUUUAUCCAAGAGAUUGUACCCAGCCUGCAGAGAGAUCCUGAGAAAGAAAUUAUAAAGACCGAAAUAAAUGAAAGAACUGCGGGCGCUGGAAAUCUGAAACAAAAACUGAAAUUGCUGGUGAAGGGUCACAGGACUCGAAACGUUAACUCUGCUUUCUCCCCACAGAUGCUGCCAGACCUGCUGAGUUUCACCAGCAAUUUCAAUUUCUGUUUGAGAAAUAAAACAAAUCUACCCUGGUUCCUGAAUGUUUCCCUCAUUCCUAAUUGCCUCAUACCAUCAUCACUGAUCGGAACUAUGAAGUACAGUGAUCAUAUUUAAUUUUCGAUUCUAAAACGUGUUUCUUAAAAGAGAGCUGCUGCAGCUGAGAAAGACGGUGGUAGAGACAGAGAGACCAACAGACCAUCACACCUAUGGAUGCUUGCAGAGCCUCAACCAACAGCCUUUCAAACUGGGAAGAGGGAUGUAAAUAGCCUUCCACACAAGUCAUUACAACGCAAGUACGAUAUUUCACCGUGUAAGCAACGAUGGGAAAGCCUGUAGCAUCAACCUUUGGAAUCUUUCAGAUCAGUGGUACAUGAUGACCCAGCUUACCUAGAGGAUCCACAUCACUGUAAGAUAUUAUGUUCUGCGAGGUCAGAAAGUCAUCUUUGACACUGAAUUGAAAGGAAGUGUUCAGCGAAGUCAUGUAAUCUCAGCUCAAUGCCCAGCAAGUUACUCAUUGCCGAAGGCGUUUGCUGCCAUACAUUUCACAACCAGCAGAGGGAGACAGAAUCAGAAUGAGAGUUUAAUUUCUCGUCACUUCAGAGCCACCAGCCAAUGAAUGGAGAUGGAAGAGACCCAGUACAGCAGAGGUGCUGGCAUUAGCAGCCUAUUAUCAUGGGUUGAGAUACGAGAGUUCCCAGCAGAUUUAAACGGACUUGGGGACGAGUGUCCUAGAUCUUUACGCAAAACUUCGAUCUUCAGCAGAUGCAACACAAUGCUUUUAUUGAUAUGCAGUUGGAGAACUGUGUCAAAUAGUGGCUGCCUUCUCAUAAAGUAGAUGAAGGGACAGUAAAGAAGGUGUAAAAGAAAUCAAAGCUGAAACCGAAUCUGCAAAUCUAUAACCCUCAGCAACGGCUCCAGAGGCCGGUCUCAGUUUUAAUGAGAACGGAGGCUGAGGGGUCAACUAACAGAUUCAUUCAUAGAGGCUUUUGUGUGUUAUAAAGUGGAUCUGCAGCCUGUCAA